GGAGAGAUGGGUGAGUGGCUGAAACCAACGGUUUGCUAAACCGUCGUAGUGGGUAAACUGCUACCGAGAGUUCGAAUCUCUCUCUCUCCG
rnacentral:tRNA from 1 species